rnacentral:lncRNA from 1 species
CCUCCCCUUGAGUGGUUCUGUGAUUUGUUUCUAAGCCUUAGAAUAUGGCACAGAUGAUGGGAUAUUAAUUUUGGGAUAAUGUUACAUGAGGCUGUAACUUUCCUCUUGCUCAUUUUGCUUGCAAACUCUAUUGACUCUCCCUGAGCAGGCUCUGAGGAAGUAAACCUCUUUAUGGAGAAGCCCAUGUGACAAGGAACUGAAGGUGGCCUCCAGCCAACAGCCCUCGGUAAGGAAGUGAAUCCUGCCCAUGACACAUGAGCUUGAAGGUGGAUUCUUUCACAGUCGAGUCUCAGAAGAUACUCCAGCCCUGCCAACACCUUCACUGUGGCACCAGAGACCCUGAGCCAGAGGACCCAGAUAAGUCAUGCCCAGAUUCCUGCUCAACAGUAAUGGUGAACUGGAGAUGUAACGACUUCCUUUUUUGUCUUGGAAGAUUCCUAAAUGUCAUUGAGAGACCCAAGACGUCUCAAUCUCACUUAAUGCAAACGGAAAACCAAGGGUUUUUAAAGGUGAAAUGGAUCUUGCUAAUGAAGAAGUAUCACUCUUCGUGGGGCAUGCAGCUUGUUAGUUCAAGUUAGAAUUCUGGGCAGUAGGCGUGUGCCAAGCUGCAAGACUUUUUCUCCUCCUAAAUGAAUCGUGCAGUAAAUUGGGCAUUUGGAUCUUUCCCUUGUGAAGCUAUCUCACAAGUAAUACAUUCAUGGUAAGAAGGACUUUGAAGUCAGGCAGACAUAUGUGGAUCCCAGCCCGACCACUGAACUCUGAUCUCUGGCAAGCGACUUCAGCUUUCUGGGUAUCUGUUUCUUCAUCUCUAAAAUGGGAAGGUUUGACUGUUGACAUCUUGGGAAACAGUAUCCUACUGGAUAUGGUUGGAGACACCCUGCUUUGGAGAGAUGAUGAUGAGUAUGAAUAUAGUAAAUAAGUCAUAGAUAGACAGUCCGAUGGAAUAUAGUAAAUAAGUCAUAGAUAGACAGUCCGAUGUCACGCGCUGACACUUUUAAUAAUAGUGCCCUCCUCUAGGGCUACUGUGAAGCCUAAAUGAGCUAAGUAAUAUAAAGUACUUACACCAGUGUUUGGCAUAUACAAAUAUUUAAUAAACUUUGUCAUUGCAUCAUCAUUAUUAUUAGAACAGAGUGGAGACUCACCCGUUCUACUGGCAACUGGAGUUUGUUCAAGAAAUACCUGAGUUGGUUCUUUAACUGUCGAGUUCGAUUGUCCAAGUGGAAGGGUGGGAGUCUCAGGGGAGAGCAUGCCAGGCAGAAGAAACAGCACAAGCAGACAUCCGGGGACAUGAACCAGCAGUAAAGCAGGGGUCCAUACAUUUAGAUAGAGUAUGAGUAGAUCAAUGCUCAAAAACUAUCCUAAAACUAAAAGAAGAUUGGAAUAUCAAUCAUACACCACACACCUCCUUGCAGCUCCUUUACAAAAGUCCCUGGGGAACAAGUUGCUUCAGUUCAUGGCAUCAAUACCCAAGGCUCAUUAUUAAAUACUAUUGUAGUGAUGCUUCAAAUUAAAUCUAGAUAUUAUUCACUGCCACAUCUCUUCCCAAACUUAUUAUUUCCAGGAAAACUCUUAAGCAACAAAUUCAGUGAAUUGGUACAACCACCAUGUUUACUGACACUUUCUAGAAGCUCUACCUUCUCAAAUGUUCUUACCGAUAUGACAUUUUUAGUAUAAAAUACCAACACUUAAGGCAAAGGAAAUUCCUACUGUUUG